UACGAGGGGGGCUAGCGUUGCUCGGAAUCACUGGGCGUAAAGGGCGCGUAGGCGGCCCGCGCCGUCGGGCGUGGAAUCCCCGGGCUCAACCCGGGGGCGGCGCCCGGGACGCGCGGGCUCGAGCGUGGGAGAGGGUCGCGGAAUUCCCAGUGUAGAGGUGAAAUUCGUAGAUAUUGGGAAGAACACCGGUGGCGAAGGCGGCGACCUGGUCCACGGCUGACGCUGAGGCGCGACAGCGUGGGGAGCAAACAGG
rnacentral:rRNA from 1 species